UACGUAGGUGGCAAGCGUUGUCCGGAUUUACUGGGCGUAAAGAGCGCGCAGGCGGUCGUUCAAGUCGCGUGUGAAAGCCCCCGGCUCAACUGGGGAGGGUCACGCGAUACUGAUCGACUCGAAGGCAGGAGAGGGAAGUGGAAUUCCCGGUGUAGUGGUGAAAUGCGCAGAUAUCGGGAGGAACACCAAUGGCGAAGGCAGCACUCUGGGCCGGUACUGGACGCUGAGGAGCGAAAGCGUGGGGAGCGAACAGG
rnacentral:rRNA from 1 species